rnacentral:rRNA from 1 species
GACGAACGCUGGCGGCGUGCUUAACACAUGCAAGUCGAACGGUGAAGCCCUUCGGGGUGGAUCAGUGGCGAACGGGUGAGUAACACGUGAGCAACCUGCCCCUGGCUCUGGGACAACCACUGGAAACGGUGGCUAAUACCGGAUACGACCCGCCUCGGCAUCGAGUGUGGGUGGAAAGUUUUUCGGCUGGGGAUGGGCUCGCGGCCUAUCAGCUUGUUGGUGAGGUGAAGGCUCACCAAGGCGACGACGGGUAGCCGGCCUGAGAGGGCGACCGGCCACACUGGGACUGAGACACGGCCCAGACUCCUACGGGGGGCAGCAGUGGGGAAUAUUGCACAAUGGGCGAAAGCCUGAUGCAGCGACGCCGCGUGAGGGAUGACGGCCUUCGGGUUGUAAACCUCUUUCAGCUCCGAAGAAGCGAAAGUGACGGUAGGAGCAGAAGAAGCACCGGCUAACUACGUG